CUCUGUCUCAAAAAAAAAAAAAAAAGUUCGCUCUGUAUGUUUUUGGUAUUUGUACUGAAGUGCAGAUAAAUUUGCAAGAUGCAAAAAUAGUUUGCCCUAUUUUACAGACAACAUUAUGAAAAUAACUACUGUUGAUUCAUUCUCAGAAGAAUAGCUGAAGAAGAUUCAGGGGCAGAGAUUACAGAGGGAAGACAGACAAUGCAAGUUGAAGCUCACAGGACAAGGGCACUGAUUGUGUCUCUGUGUGUGUGCAUGCACAAAUGCACAAAAGAAACAGAGUAAGAGCAGAAGCUGAUGUGGUCUAACACAGGAGUCCUCAAACCCCAGGCCACAGACUGGAAGGUGUGUUAGGAACCUGGCCGCACAGCAGGAGUUGAGCAGCAGGUGAGCAUUACAGCCUGAGCUCUGCCUCCUGUCAGAUCAGCAGUGACAUCAAAUUAUCAUAGGAGAAGGAACGCUACUGUGAACUGUGCAUGCAAGGGAUCUAGGUUGUGUGCUCCUUAUGAGGAUCUAAUGCUUGAGGUGGAAUAGUUUCAUCCUGAAACCAUCUCCCCUACUGGUCCAUGGAAAGACUAUCUUCUAUAAAACUGGGCCCUGGUGCCAAAAAGGUUGGUGACUGCCAUUCUAACAGGCUUAUUUGAAAAAUCAGCAUAUUCAUUAGAUUGAAAAUGGUGAAUUUAAAACAUACUCUCUUUCUGAAACAGUCUCCCUAUUUGGGGCUCAAUAGAAAUGUUUCCAAAUUACUAUAGUUUUAUUUUUUACAUAGUGGCAACUAUAUAAAAUUAAUCUCUUAUUUUAUAAAUAUCCGAUGGAAAUGUUUUUAACUAAUGGCUCUAUUUAACUUGCGUUUUUUUUUUUCUUGCACCUUAUGGAGGCAGGGGUCAUACCUCCUAAUUCAAGAAAUGGCCAAUAGGAUGAAUUCUAAAAUAUUUGUUUCAAGAAUAUAAAAUGUAAAGAUGAGAAAUACCUAGUAUCACUAAAACUUUGCCAUAUGGUCAAUUAACAUCAUCUCUCUGGACAACUGAAGUGAGAGCAAACAGACCCCAGAAAUGGACUCCCUAUUUUAGUCAUUUUCUCAUGUUAUACAUAGCUUCUAAUAUGUGUUUUAUGAAAGAACAUUUAUAAAUGACACGAAGAAAAACACACUUAGGCUUUAACAAGCUUAUUCCUGGCUGACGAUAAGAUUUUCUUUUUUAAUUGUUAAAUAUUUAGGCAAACCAAAAUAUUUACGUUUACCUGGAAAAAACAAAAACCGCUUUCAUUUUGGAAAUGCCAUAAGCAACACUACCCUUAUCCUAACAGCACAAAACCACUGGCUGUUGCGCAUCCCUGACUAUGGGACUGUCUGAGCACCUCCCUUCCAAAGUGAUACAAACACUUUCUUCAAGACGGUGUUGUUAGAAAGCUGAGUGCCGCCUUUGUGCUACUUGCCACAGGCUGUUAGAGGACAAAAAUGCAUACUUAUUUUUCUUUUAUUUUCCUUUCCAGAAAGGCAUCAAAAGAAAGCCUAAGUGUGAAAUAAUACUCAUCAUUAAGAAGUAAAGAGCCACACAAAUCAACAGUUUGGCUUAGAUUAGAUUAAUCUCUUAUUUUGCCCAAAUAUUAUCUUAAAGUCUGAAAAAAUGUCUAAUUCAACUAAGAAGAAAUUUACUCUAAUAAUUAUAUAAAGACAGGAAAACAACAAAUAUAGGAACAAAUUGAAGGAUGUCUAAAUCUGCUGUUAUCACAGGCUGAUUUUCCACAUGUAUGCAUAAAUUGGCAUGCCACCUUUCAUUCUGUCUGUUUGAGAGAUUGAUUGUUUUCCCUAAGGAGCUGAUCGUAUAUUAUUCUGGGAAGCCUGAGUGUUAUCUUACAGGCUACAGAGAACACUACAGGAACUGUCCAAGUCGUGCUAUUAUCUGGUUUAAUUUUCAGGAAUAUGACCCUGGUAGCAAUAAAAGAAAAAAAAUGGCAGGAAUGUUUGAAGGAAGUCCCUAAAACUAUGUAGGCAAGAGAUAAUGAGGCACUGGAGGAGGUGGGGGACCCCAAGCAGCAAGGCUGGAAGACUCUCCCUAUAAAUGGGCAGGUGGGUGAGAAGAGGAGAAGUGAAAGUUUAUAUUUUCUUUUUUAGUAGAUUUUUAAAAUUUUAUAUUUGUGUUCUUUAAGGUUAUAUGGAUGGGUUUGAUAGUUUAAUUUAUGCUUUUUAAAUUUAAUGUUUAAAUGUGUAUAGUAAUCUGAGGAUAGCAAGUGAAUGUGGAAUUAAAAAGAACAAAAGGAAAAAGAAGCAGACACAAUGUCAUGUUACUCCUUUAACAUUUUUAGCGAAUGAAAUAAAUUUUAAAUAGAUAGGCUACCUUUUAUUUAUUUUUUCAUGGGUAUAAAAACAUGCUUUCUAUUUUAAUUUGCCUUUUUGCGUAGACUAAAAUUUCCCUUUGAGUCUAAUGAUAUUAAGAGGAGUGAUAGUAAGUAGAAAAGAAAACAAAAGGAAUAAAAUAUUCUAUCAAGUUAGGGGAAAAGCCUGUCUUUCCUUUAGUUUUGUAAUCAUUACUCAAUAAUUAAUUAUUGAUCCUGGAGUUUUCGAAUUUGGGAAAUGACAUGAAUGCUGAGUCAAGAAUAUAAGCAAUGAACCUCUAUGAAGGGAAGAUAAACCCUUCAGUUGAGAGUCUCAGGUUGAAUAUGUCAAGGAGAAGCCUGGAAUACAGACCAGGUGCUGCUGCCAGUGGGAGAGGGAAAAAGUGGCCAUGGGGAGCUCCUCCCUGCGACCUGAGGCCCCUCAAAGCUGUUUAGCACACUAAAUACACGCGUAAUGAAUCAAGCAUACAAAGAAACAGUUAGGAUGUUUAGCACAUCUCUAUCUUCCUCAAGCAGGCACCCUUCUUAUUCCUGCAAUCAUGGCUACAAAAUUUCAUGUUUGUAGAAACAGGCUGGGAAAUGCUGAACUGCACAGAAAGGUAGUCUAGAGGAAGGAAAUGCUGAACUGCAUAGAAAGGCAGUCUAGAGGAAGGAGCAUCUGCUUUGAAGUCAGUCAGUCCUGAGUUGGAGUUCUGGAUAUCUACUUUCUAAAUGCAACCUCGGGCCUACUAUAUAUCCUCUCUGCACCUCAGUUCCCCUACCUGUACAAUGAGAGGGUUUGAUACCCUCAUCUAGGGGUUAAGGUAGAAUGACCACAUUUCCUCAACUUCCUAGGAUAGUGUUUGUUUAUAUCCUUUGCCUCUAAGUCAUUAACAGUGUUCCCUUUCAUUCUAAAAUGGUCCCAAUUUGAAAAAAUUAUAUGCUCCCUCCUCAUCAUAAGGAUAUUAAAUGAUUUGAUGUGUGUAAAGCCAGCAUUGAGCUUUUAGUCAUCAUGUUCCUUCCUCCUAUCAGUAUGUGAAAGAAAGAGGAAAAUUUGGCAGAAUUAUCAUUACUGUAGCCUCGCUUAAUGACACACCUGGGAUACAAAAGCACCCAGCAUUCCUAUUUCAUGGACACUUAGGUAAAGCACUUUAAUAAAGUGCUUUACAGAGGGUAAUCUAAGGAAGAAAAUUUCACCUCCAUUAAAAGAAAAGACAAAAUUCUUCAUUUUAAGGUUACAUGUGGAAAAAGGAAAUCGAUGAUAGUUUGCAAAAAUACUACUGAAAAGUAUCAUACUUGACAGCAGAUGUUCCAGUUUAUCCUCUGCAUAUACAGAAAAAUAGCCUAAGGUUAAUGAGAAUCACCACUAUAUAAUACAUACACAUACACACACAUAUGUGUCUGUAUAUAUAUAUAUAUACACACACACACAUAUAUACAUUAUAUAUAUGUAUGUGUAUAUGUGUGUGUGUGUGUAUAUAUAGACAGAUAGAGAGAUGUAGUAAUUGUAGAUGUGCAAUCAGUUGCUUACUUAGAAUAACCUGCUUCACUGAUAAAAACAACUGGGUAAAUUCUGAUUGUUUUGUUAAGUUUAUCUGCAUUUAAAACAUUAUAAAUGCCCUGACUUAUAAAUAUUGAAAACAAAGCUAAAAUAUUAGUUACUAAUUCUCUUAGUCCAUUCUUACCUCCCUGAAAUGAAAUACAUGAGGCUGGGUAAUUUAUAAGGAAAAACUGUUUAAUUGGCUCAGAGUUCUACAUGCUGUACAAGAUGUGUGGUGCUGGCAGCUGCUCCUAGUGAGAGUCUCAGGAAGCUUACCAGUGCUUGCGGAAAGUGAAGAGGGAGCAGGCAUGUCACCUGAAAAACAGGGAGCAAGAGGGGCAGGGGGAGUGGCAUGUUCUUUUAAACAACCAGAUCUCACAGGAACUCAGAGUGCUAACUCACUAACCGAAGGGAUGGUGCUAAGCCAUUCACGGAAUCUGCCUCCAUGGUCCAAUCCCCUCCCACCAGGCCCUACCUCCAACAUUGAGAAUCACAUUUCAACAUGAGAUAUGGAGGAGACAAACAUCCAAAGCAAAACAUUAAUGCUGAGAAUUUAAUGGAAAUGCAGCAGUGUUAUUCUGAGCAUCAAGAAAAAUGAUCUGGAAGCAUCAAUAUUUAACAGAUUUAUGAUGUGUUUGAUACCAGAUAAGUAGCUGGACAUCUGUAGUUUUGAAGAAACUUUUGGUGGUGAAAUUUUAGAAAAUUUAGAAAUUUUAGAAAAAUUAACAUCUUUACAAACUUUUGUAGUCACACUGAAAAUAUGAAGGAAAAAUAAAAAAAAUUUGUUUAUUAUGCUCUAAGCUUGUUUAUGAACAAAAAAACCAGGGAAACAAAAACAGCCACCCAGAAAGUAGACAUGGUGUAACUAUUGACAGAAUGUCUCUAAUGAAGCUGCAAAGAGCUCAGAGAGAAAGCCAUUGACUGGGAAUCAGAAGACUGGUUUUUAUUUUCAGCUCUGCCACAACCUGACCAUGAGAUCUCAAAUGGAACUUCUUUGGGCUUCAUUUUCACUGGCUAUAAACUAAAUGGUCUGGAAUCUCUAGUUCCAACAUUUCUUCUAUCAACAGUGUUCCAUGAUCCCAUGGUUCCUUAGUGUAGAGAUUAGUAACAUCCAACACAUCUUCUGGGCUCCUCUGCAUCCUUGUGUCAAUUUAAGACCAUCACUUUCCCACUCCCACCAAUUCCUUGUGCUCCAGCACCACCCGUAGGGCUCCCAGACCCUGCUGGUCCAAAUACAGGUAUCUAAUUGCUCCUCCUCACACCACUGUAGUGAGUCUCUGUGUUCUCCAUGGCAUGCUCCCAUCCAACUUCACCUGGGUGACAAGAGAUUGGUAGGUACUGAAAGGAUACACUGCAAGAAUUAGGAUGCUCUGCAUUCCAGUCUCAACUCUCUCCCCCAAAAGAAGCCCAGGUCCCUUUGAAAUGAUGCCACAUUUUCUACACAAGUGGCAAUAAUUAAACACUUAAUCAAAAGUUCUCUUUCUAUUGCAAUAACUUAUUUACUCAAAAAAAAAAAAAGACAAAGCUAGAGCUGAAAGGCAAUUUUUCACUUCAGGAGAAUUUGUCAAGUCUCUUACUACACUGCUGCAUAAGCUUGGCUUGGAGAGCCACAAUUUAUCAUCUGACCUUCGCUUGCUGAUACUGCCUUCAGGUCCGCAUUUCUGUGAGUAGCACACAGAUGGGCUCUGUGGGAUCUCACAAGAUCCAUCCAUACAAGUAGUGAACUCUCCAUUUCAGGAGCAAUGGACUAAUGAAUCAGGAAUCGCUCCACUUGGCACCCACGACGGUGGAAUAAUUCAUCACAGCCAACUACAGAGACUAUUACAUCAGGAAUAAAGAAAAGUGAGUGCCAAUUAAGCUUCUUGCUCAGACUAUUAAAGUUACAGCAUUAAUACUGCCCACAAAUCUUUCUAAUAGUUGAUUCAUCUGAAUUAUUGUAUAGUCCAUAGGAAAAGAAUGACAGAAAAAUUGAAUACUGGAUAUAAAAAAUGACAAACUUAUUUUGAUAACAUAUUUAAAAGCACCAUGCUUACUCUGAUGCAGAAGAUGCUAUUUAUAGCUUAAUUGUGUCAAAGAGUGAACAUUACAAUUAGCACUCUAUCCUUGCCACGUUUUUUUGUGAACUCUUCUAAGAUAAUUAGUAUGAUUGCCUAAGGCUGUGGGAGUAUAAAUGUCCUCUUUUUACUGCUGGAAAUGUUAUUGUUGUUGCUAUUUGGGUCAAGUAUCUUAAAACUUCCCAGAAAGGAUUUUUCAGAAAUAAUUCUGGGAGGCAAGUGAAGAAAUUGCCAGAG
rnacentral:lncRNA from 1 species